CACGUCCUUCAUCAAGCACAUCCUCUCUGGGUGAGCCGGAGCUGCAAAGAUUGCUGAAUGAAACUGGAACUCUAAAUGGCAACUGUCAAAACACUGAAAGAAAAUAUGUCUUGUCUGUAUGUCUUGGAAAGCAUCAAAUAAAAACCAUCCAAAUUUAAAAAAUGUUGUUAGGAUGUUAAUUAUUUAUAAUGUAGGCCUACGUAAAAUGUAGUUUUUAAAGACGUUUAUCAGAUGUUUGUACCCAGCAGGGUGAAUGUGAUUUAAGUGUGUGUACGUUUUAAGUAGAAGUUUUAAGUAAAAAUUCAAAAGAAGUAACUAAUCAGAGAUUAUGCAAUUUCCAACACAGCCAUCGUGUCCAACAGCACUACUUUUCACUGUUUGUAUCACUGCGCUUGUCUAUUUUUGUGGGGGGCGGCGACAGUGUACUGCCUAAAAUGAAAUUACAUAAGCGGUUUCCAUAACUGCUCCAAAUUCAAAAAUGAAACUAAAAUUAAAUCAUCUUUGAGAGCAAGGAGGCCCCCUGGUGUUCACGCAAAGUAAGAAGGCGUACCUUUUAUUCUCGUUGUAGUAUUGUUGUUGCUGCUGCCGCCAUGUCAUAUAGUGUGUUUCACUGUGAAAGCGAAACUACUUUGUUUGGCCUUCCAAAAGAGGAUGAUAUCCGCUUCGUCAUGCCUGGAGCUGAUCUGUGCUGGUCGCUGAGGAAAUACAUCAACUUCGCACUGUGGAUCGACAAAUCGGCUUUCACUGUGGACGAAGUGGAGUCCAGCCCGGGGUCGUCACAUGUGGUUGCCGCAAGCACAAGCUUUGGCAGUUUGAAGCUCACUGGAUUUUCCCCAUCUAUGCUCAAUCAGGAGAGCAAAAACAGAACCACAGGCAAGUCCAAGGAAGGAUUUUAUUUCAUUGUUUAUGAGAGGAGAGUUUGUUUAUGGUGACAGGUAAUGCCCUGGCAAGCCCGGUUGACACCACAUCUGUACUUCCCCUCUGUUACAUCCCAAACAAACCCAGGGAAAGCAGCCACCCAUCAAUCAGAUACUCAUUCCUGUCACCACACACAUUAUGUCUAUCAGGCAUGUGUCCUUUUCCAUUUUCAUAUGCCACAUCUCUCAUGUUAAAUAUCCUGUGAGUCAUUUAGUGUAUUUCGCUUCUAGGUGGCCAGUUUUCCAAAGUGUGAGAUGAAACCUCAGAGUUUGAUAGAGUUUGUUGAAUGGUUUGGAUGAAAAUGUCAUUUUGACAGGCCUCUCGGAUUUGAACAUCAUAGAUUGAUUCUUUAGGUUCGACUAUAGGCCCAGAAGUGAAUCUAUCCCACACAGGAUAAAGGCUGUUUUCUUUGGCAGGACUGAGCUGUAACCAUCUUUGUCUCUUUUCAUCCCUAGAAGACAAAGUAUGUUUUAUUUUAGAGACGUGUAUGGUUGUUUUUAUACAUUCUUUCAGGACAUAAAGACCACUGACAGAGAUAACAGUUUUAGUUGAGUUCGGAUCCAAAGACAACGUCUGCCCAGCUAAUGACUCUUUUUGUGCAUGCAUGUGGAUAUAGGUUCACACUGGGACGUACACAUGGCAGUCGAGUUUAAGUUCACAAGAAACCAAUGGACGUGAAACUGUAGUCGAUUCUGGGGGUAGUUGAUCUCGAGAGAACGUUUGGCACAUGAUCAAGGAAGCGUGGCCUUAAAGACUGAGCUUGAGCAUCUUUAUUAUCUCAAACAACAGUUUAUUAUUCAUUGAUGUCCAGACGUAUAUUUUAUUCUUUAAGUCUGGAGCGCACGGGUUCACUGAGAAAUAACAAAAGGAUCCUUAUGUGGAGACCUCUCGCAGGCGAGACUUCCUCCUCAGACGGCCCCAAUAGAGACGUGAGGUGAUGGGCUUAGAUUCAGCGUCGUGCAAAUAUCAUCCUAAAUGUCAGAGAACUAAGAGUGCUAAGGAAGACUGAUCUCUGAAGCUUACAGUGGGAGAGGGACAUCAAAAGAUAUAAGGUAUAAGAUAUUUCAAAAUAGACUCCUUUUCUAGUCAUCAGUCGUUGUUGUAUUUCACUCACACAUUAAAUGCUCAUCCUAUAGCUAGUAUGAAUUAGGCAUGAGCCUCACUCUCUGUCUCUUUGUAGUAUUAGCGUUUUGAUAUUUAAAAUUCGAUUUUAAAAAUGUAACUUUCUGCUUUCACUUAAAUUUGAAAGUUUUAGUAAUUUUGUUGUGUUUUUUGUAAUAACGUAACUAAUUUUAUUAUUUUUUAGUUUUAAUUUAAAUUUAUUUUAACACUCCAAGGUAAACUAAAUAAAAAUGACAAAUGGUGACAUGGCAACUUUUUUAAUAAUAAUAAUAUGUUUAAUUUAUUUAGCACCUUUCCCAAGCUCAAGUAUACUUCACAAUGACAAUAGCAAGAAACAAUCAUUUCAUACAUAGAAGGACAAUAGACAUUUGCCAAGUCCAAGACAUUGCAGUGAUUGCAGUUGCCUAUCACAGUAGUAGCGCAAACAGUCAAAUACAGCAAACAAUCAAAUACAGCAGAGAGCCAUAAUAGUUUAAGAAAAAAACAUAUUGUAACUGGUUCAACAGAUAGGUUUUGAGUUUAGACUUAAAUUCAUGCAGUGUGGUUAUUGUCCGAAGAGCAAUGAAUUCCACAGUUUUGGAGCCAAACAGAGAAAGAUCUGCAUCCCAUAGAUUAUGGGCGAAAUCUCGGAAAUUAAAUGACCAUUUAUUUUAUUUCAAGUAGCAAAAAUGUUUAUGGUUUUAGCAGUGAAUAAUAUAGAUUUUGUGGAGAGUUUCCACAAAAAAGUUAAGCAGCAGAAUGGUUUUCAUCAUCGAUAAUACUAACAAUGUUUCUUGAGCACCAAAUCAGCAUAUUAUAAUGAUUUCGGAAGGAUUGUCAGAAAUGUGACACUGUAAACUGAAGUAUUGUCUGCUGAAAAUUCAGCUUUGCCAUCACUGGAAUAAAUAACACUUUGAAAUAAAAAAGAAAACAGAUAUUUUAAAUUGUAAUUAUAUAAAUUUGAUUAUGUACUGUAUGUAAUGUUUUUUUAUAUAUAUAUUGUAAAUUCAGCCAUGGUGAGCAUAAGCUCAUACUCUUUUGAACAUUAAUAUAUACAAUUCAUAUUGUUCCAAAGCUGGUUUAACUCUCGAAGAUUGUUAGAUAGAGAGAGAAAGCUUGGAAGAAAUCAAAACCUCCUUACAAUAUGUUGAUCUUAUUAAUUAAUUCAUGUCUUAAAUGUCUUUUGACAUUAUAUCUUAAAUGUAUAUACUGUAUAUUUGACAUGCAUAUUUAUGACAUUUAGCAUAUUUGACAUAAAUAAUCAAAAUAUAAUGUCAAAAGUCAUUAUAAGAGCUAAGUGUAUUUAAACGUCUUAAAUACCUCCUUAGUGUUUUUAAAAGAAAUGCCUUUUGGGCCCCUUUGACUGAGAAAAUGAGGAGAGGAUGUUCCCAGCAUACCUUAAUCAGUACCAUUGAGGUAUCUCAGUGCACAAGCCCUCAAAUCUGCACUGAAUCUUCCUCACUGAUGGGGGAUGGGUCAGUUACAGAUGACAUCAUCGGCUGGAGUUGUGUGCUGUGCUUGUGUGUUGCAGAGAUUUUGCAGUCUUGUAAGAAGGACGAAGUCUCUCUCUGAUGACCACGUGAGGACUGACUUGCAGCCACAUUUGACAGUUAGUAUCAUGAUACAUACAAGAACAAACAUGCAUUUGCACUUUGAAAAUGCACAUGUUUGGUGUUAAAAUUGAUGUGAUGGCAUGCGAUAUCACUAGAGGGCAUUAUUACCCCAACACUUACUGUAUAUGUGUAUGCUCUUCUUUAUUAAAGCAACAUACAACAGAAUACAGAAAGUGUGUUUACAGCCUAAACUGGUAGCUAGGAAAGUACAAAAACACUAAGGCUGAUCCUCAAAAAGAUGCUAAAAUGUCAAUACCAGACAAUUGUUAGAACAUCACUAGGGGGCAUCGAUAUCAAAAUAUUUCUGUCUCUACAUAACAUCUGGGAUUGUGCAAUAUCCAUUCUGUAACAUAUUUUCUGCAGUAGUUCUGGCGUCUGGUCACCAGAAUUAAAAUGACUGAACCAAGAUGUUUAGUCAGGCUGGACUACCAUGCCUUCAUUGCCUUCCCAUUGAGAUUUACAGUUUCCUAGCAGACCCAUCUGGUCAUGACCUACAUAUAUCCACUUUCAUAUAUAUGGAACUCGCUAGGACUCAUUGUAUGAUGAUUGAGAAGCUAUAUUCAAACCCUGAGGAAAUUAUGACCAGCCAAUUGAUAAAAGCCACACCGAGCGCAAUGAAUCAAGCGUAUAAAGACAGCACAGAGCGAUGGUUGAAGUCAGUCAGAUUCAGAGGCUAGUGUUGCUCCUGUGGGGAGAUGAGCGGUUCGGCAGGCUGACUUUAUGCACAAUGACAUGGCCACAGGAACCUGCCAGAGUCCAUUAAAAUCUUCCCCAGUCAGGUGUCUCCUCUGCUUCUCUACACACAGUCCUCCAGCUCACCGCCAAUGCACUCUGCUCCUAGAACAAUCAAUAUGUUAGGUUACCGUCCAGAAUGGAACAGGUUGCUCCAGCCUGCUGUGCCAUUUCAGCAGGUUUGGGUGGAGGUCAAAGUCAGUUCUUAAACAGAUAUUAUGGUGCAGCUGCUUCCUUGAGCUUCCUGCACUUGAGGGAAUGAUAGAUAAACAAGCUUUGUUUUAUAAUAAAGUUUAUGUUGAAUCUCUUUUGCGUGACAUAUAUGGCAGCUUUAAGCACCUCAAAUGUGGACUCAUAGGCAAUUUUAGUGUUUUUGUGGAGUAAUUCAUCACUUUUUAUU
ensembl:lncRNA